UUGCUUUGGCAGCACACAUACUAAAAAUGAGAACAAUAUAGAAAAGAUUAGCAUGGUCCCUAUGCAAAGAUGAGAUGCAAAUUCAGGAAGUGCUCCUUAUUUUU
rnacentral:snRNA from 1 species